rnacentral:rRNA from 1 species
UCGCCUACCGGUAGCGGCGGACGGCUCAGGACACGGUUGCACCCCCCGCGGCGGUCCCUGCUAGCCGGACACCGCUGGCAACCCGGCGCCAAGACGUGCGCGCAAGGGCGGGCGCCCGCGGGCGAGCAGCGUGACGCAGAGACGGC